rnacentral:lncRNA from 1 species
UUUAAAGAAUGGCCUUGGACCAGAAAAAAAGAACUAGUCCCUGAUUUUAUAAGAAACAAGUAAUUGGGCUCUAAGGCUUAAUGAAGAACAAUGCAGUUAGUUGAUCAUGGCAAUGAAGUCUCUCUUCUGAAGCCUGUCUCAAAUCAAUUCAAGCAAUAAAAGAAAGUUAGAUUUAUAACUGGCAAUGACUGAAUGUAGAGGGUUGAUGUCACAAAGACUAUCUCCACCUCUUCGUUAAGAAUUUUGUUUAGUGUCAACUUUAUUCACUGAGGGUACUUCCUCAAAAGGCUGAACCCAGGAAUGCUGGGAGCUUUUGGUUAACACCUUUAGACUAUUAGAAUCUGAAGGUAAGUAUACUUCUCUCUUACAUCUUCAGGUUGAAUAAACCUGCAAAGGAUUGAUAGCUUGGUUGUGAUUUCUUUUUGUUUAUUAAUUAAGCAACCAUAAUCCUGAGACUGUGACCUUAAAUACAGCAAAUGUAUUUGCUUCCAAGGUAGAGAAACUGGAAAACUCAAUGUUAAAUAAUGUCUCUUUAUGUAAUAUUGCAUUGUGUGUUAGGUAGUAGAUUGCACUGUGUGUUAGGAUGGGCUUGAUGAUAUACUUUUAAAAUACCACUUAAAUCUUAAAAAAUACUAUAUAUAUACGCACAUAUAUAUAUAUAUAUAACUCAACUAUACAUAUCUAAAAAACAAGUUGGCUAAGAGAUUCUCAUCUACAGAUUCAGGAAGAUGAGGCAGAUGUAGAUAUACUAUCUGGGAUAUAAGGCCCCUUUUAACAUGCAAGGGAGACCUGAUGAGACUUACUUUUGAAUUCAAAAUAAAUCUGUAACGAUGAAAAUUGUACACUACAUUUUAAAUAUUUCAACUGGAAAUGACACAUGCUACUUCCUCACAGCACAUUGGCCAAUUCUGAUUCUUAUUGACCCGUUUAACUAAAAGGGAAACAUGCGGGAAAGAAACUGAUGUCAUUCAAAGAGUAAAUAUCUCUACCACAUGCGGUGAUACAUUUUCAAAAAGACAGCAUCUGUUUAUAAAUCAAUGACAAAGAUGUCACCAUUCUUACCUUUUGAUAAUCAAAAUUCUUCAAUCAAUAAAAACCAGUUACCUUUCACUGAAAAGUCAAAAUUAAUCUUUGUAUCCAUAUAUGAUAUAUAGUUAGUAAAAUAUCAAUUUAUGUAUGGACAUGUUAUUAAUAUUGAUAAGUAAGUUGGAAGAGAACAUAUAAUCAGGAGAUAAACUAAUUAUAACAAGCUAUUUUUAAACAUGACUUUGACACUUUUUGUUAAUCAAUAUUUGCAGGGAUUUAGUUACUUCAAAUAAGCCUAUUUUGUCAUUUGAGAAGCAUUGCGUACUUCAUCCUGCCAAUAAGUAAAGUUUCAUUUAAAGUGCAGGCUUAAAUGUAUGGAUUCUUCUAUAAAGAGUAUAUUUAACAAAUUAUAUCAAGUGUUGGCAGAAAAUUUUAGCUCUAGGUACAAAAGGUGCAUUGCAGUGUAUAAAGAAACCUAGUAUAAAAAUAGUCAUAUAUAAUCAGGUAAAGAAAGAAACUGCUAUGACCUGGGUCUGGUUCAAGUUAAAUAAUAUUUGUAGUUAACAAAUAUUCUUUUCCCGCCCUUUCCUUACUGAAAAGAUUUUGAAUCCAAAAUAAAACAAGCCUGUAACAAUAAGGAUUAUUUGAAUAUUAAAAAAUUUUAAAACAUCACUUAACAAUGUUUUAAAAUACUUAAACUAGUACUAUUAAAACAUUCUACUAUUAGAAACACUAAUGAUAUGUCUGAUAUCACUUAUUUUUUUUCAAGACCAUUUGAAAUCAUUGGCAAACUAGAUAAUGCCAAACAUUUCUCCCUGUGGCCUUGGACCAACCCAGUUCUCCCUAGUUUCUUGCUUGCAGUUCUCAAGAAGAAACUCAGAAUGUGCUAGGAAUGCAACAUUCUGAGAUAAGAAGGGACGUUCUAGAACAGCCCGGUCUUAGUUCAAAUUUCUUUUAGAAACAGAACAUCCUUUCAUGCUUUCACCUAAGUUAUAAAACCCAGGGCGGGCUUUGCCAGAUCAUCAGCUGUGGUGCAACAGGGUCUUGCACAGAUGAGAUUACAUCCACCCUGGGCAGCUUUCUUGAGCCUUGGGGGACCAGCUUAAUGAUGAACCCUAAUUUUCUGUUGUCCCUUGCUGCCUAUCUAAGACUGCGAGCGAUCUGAAUGCAACACUCGGAGCACUCAAAUGUGAGCAGAAAUACAGCUUUUCAUGUAAACUAAGUGAAGAAGGAGACAACAGCUCAACAAGCAUAAAGGGAGAUGCUCAGGCUUGUUGGCAAUCAGACAGUGGUAAGAUGGACACCUAAAGUGUGAUGAGUACGCCCCAGGAAAUGUUUUGCAGCAGGGAGAAGCAAUGGACUGGAUGUAUACAUCAAAGCCAAGAUGGAUCUUUAAGACAUAGAAAGAAGGGGAAAAUGUAAUAAACAAAAUGUAAGUUUUGACACACUCGAAGUAAUAGCACACGUAUUAUAAAAUGUAUACGACCAAAGAAUAUACAUUAGAAAGGUUGCCUAUGGAGUAAAAGGGAAAUGGAGUGGGGAAGGAGGAUAAAAAGUAAAAUAAAAUACACACAAUACAAAGUGAAAAAUAUGACACAUUCAAAACAAUAGUCCACAUAUUAUAUACUUAUUAUUUAUAUCUAUAUAUACACACACUAAAUACAUUAAAAUAAAGAAAUAAAACUGUAUUUUCAGCUAAUUAGUAUAGUUGUAUAGCUAAUGUACUGCACUCUAAAUACUUUGACUUUUAAUUAUAUUGUUCCUGCACCGGUUUUAUUUACUCCUUGCUAAUAUUUAUCCCCCACUUUUUUUUUGAGACAGGGUCUUGCUUUGUUGCCCAGCCUAGCGUGCAGUGGUGUGACUCUAGCUCACUACAGCCUCUGACCUCCCAGGCAUAAGUGAUCCUCCUGCCUCAGCCUCCCACCAUCAGGACUGCAGGGAUGCGCCACUACAAUCAGUGAAUAUUUUUAAAAUUUAUUUUUGUGCAGAGACCGGGCCUUACUAUGUUGCCCAGGCUGGU